AUCGAUGAAGAACGCAGCGAAAUGCGAUAAGUAAUGUGAAUUGCAGAAUUCAGUGAAUCAUCGAAUCUUUGAACGCACCUUGCGCUCCUUGGUAUUCCGAGGAGCAUGCCUGUUUGAGUGUCUUGAAGUCAUCAACCCCUCCCGUUUCGUGCGGGAAGGGUUGGAUGUGGGGGCUCUGCUGCCGCGAGGCGGCUCCCCUCAAAUGCAUCGGUUGGGCCUGUGGGUCGAACUCGACUGGGCGUUGUACCAUCCUCGCUCGACAGAGACGUUCCCCUUCUGCGCCCUCCCCCGACCUGCCUAUCAGAGUGGCGGUCAAGCAAACAAACUUUGAAAUCUGACCUCAAAUCAGGUAGGACUACCCGCUGAACUUAAGCAUAUCAAUAAGCGGAGGAAAAGAAACUAACAAGGAUUCCCCUAGUAACUGCGAGUGAAGCGGGAAAAGCUCAAAUUUGAAAUCUGGCGGCUCCGUCGCCCGAGUUGUAUUCUGGAGAAGCGUUUUCCGCGUCGGACCGUGUACAAGUGCCUUGGAACAGGACGUCAUAGAGGGUGAGAAUCCCGUCUUUGACACGGAUGCCCGAUGCUCUGUGAUGCGCUCUCGAAGAGUCGAGUUGUUUGGGAAUGCAGCUCAAAACGGGUGGUAAAUUCCAUCUAAAGCUAAAUAUUGGCGAGAGACCGAUAGCGAACAAGUACCGUGAGGGAAAGAUGAAAAGCACUUUGGAAAGAGAGUAAAACAGUACGUGAAAUUGUUGAAAGGGAAACGCUUGAAGUCAGUCGCGUCUGCCGGAACUCAGCCUUGCUUCUGCUUGGUGCACUUUCCGGCCUGACGGGCCAGCAUCGGUUUCGAGCGGUGGACAAUGGCGAGGGGAAGGUGGCAGCUCCGGCUGUGUUAUAGCCCCCCGCCGCAAACGCCGCCCGGGACCGAGGAAUCCGGCGCAAGCCUGGGAUGCUGGCGUAAUGGCUUUAAACGACCCGUCUUGAAACACGG
rnacentral:rRNA from 1 species